AGCAGCCGCGGUAAUUCCAGCUCCAAUAGCGUAUAUUAAAGUUGUUGCAGUUAAAAAGCUCGUAGUUGAAUUUUGGGUCUGGCCGGGCGGUCCGCCCUCUGGGUGAGCACUGUUCCGACGCCGGGCCUAUCCUUCUGGUGAGUCGGCAUGUCCUUUGUUGGGUGUGUCGGGGAACCAGGACCAUUACCUUGAAAAAAUUAGAGUGUUCAAAGCAGGCGUAUGCUCGGAUACAUUAGCAUGGAAUAAUGAAAUAGGACGCGUGGUGCUAUUUUGUUGGUUUCUAGAACCGCCGUAAUGAUUAAUAGGGAUAGUUGGGGGCAUUAGUAUUCAAUUGUCAGAGGUGAAAUUCUUGGAUUUAUUGAAGACUAACUUCUGCGAAAGCAUUUGCCAAGGAUGUUUUCAUUAAUCAAGAACGAAAGUUAGGGGAUCGAAGACGAUCAGAUACCGUCGUAGUCUUAACCAUAAACUAUGCCGACUAGGAAUCGGGCGAUGUUAUUCUCAUGACUCGCCCGGCGCCUUAUG
rnacentral:rRNA from 1 species